ensembl:lncRNA
GCCAGCCAUGAUCGCGCGCGAGCUCGGAGGGAUGAAGAUGGUCCAGCUGGGAAGACGCGGCGCUCCGCGGCAGCCAGAGACGCAGUGCUGAGCGGGAGAAGCGGACCUCCGUGAAAGCACCGCCGCCUCAUUCCGCCGGUGUUUCGUGCUCUAGAGGAGGCAGUGAGGGAGGGAGGGAGGGAAGGAGGGAUGUGCCUGAGCGCUCUUUAGAGCAGCCUGCAGUCUAGCAGCGACGAGGAGAAGAAGGACUAACAUUUUAUGCAGCAUCUGUUGAAGAAUAAAGAAGAGAGAGGAGAGAAAACUAACAGAGCCGGGUUUCCGAUAUUUUGGCCAGUUAAAGCAGAGCAAGGAACUAAGCCCCGGAGCCCCGCGUUCACCUGGAAUACCUUCACAACGCGUCGUCAGAAAGACAUAAACAAGUCUUGGUUGAGGACCCUAUGUAGGUGUGAUGUAAUCCCCCCACCACCACCACCUCCACCUCCACCACCACCACCACCACCACCCCCCACCCCCCCACUCAGCCAUGGAGACCACCGGGGCUCAGAAGACAGCCGUGUGGAAAGCAGAAGCCCUCUGAACACAACGGAGCUGAUAAGGAUCGACGGACCCCGAAACCAACCAGAGCUGAGUGGGAGACGAUUGGGAUAUCAGUGUCAUUUUUGCUGUUUACAUGCUCUGAAUGGUUUCGCUGAGGCCUGAGACUCUGAAGUCCUUCUCUUUUUAUGUUUUUGCUCAUAUCGUUUUAAACGGGAGGAAUAAGUGGUCUUUCUUCGCGUCCCGUACGACUCAAGCAGGGUUUUUUUAGCUCGAUCUUGACCAUAAGGGUAAGGUGACCUCGUCGAGAUAACUGCGCUGUCUCGCAAACUUUUACGCAAAAAUGAACGCUGAUUUCUCUUGAGUCCGCAUCGGUUACACGUGCAGCAAGAGUGGCCUCUAAAGGGCUGUGCGGUCAAAAUGAUUCCCCAUCACACUGACCUUAACCAUUCCAAAGAUCUCACCACCAUACGUAGUCCUCUAAAGACGUAGAUUAGCACAAUAAUAGCAGCGCAACGUGACUUGUGUAGUUGAUUAUUAAACUCUUUUAAACUGCAAGAAAACUGUAUUCAGGGAGUUUUACGGGUCAGGGAAAGACUUAAGUGCCACUGCUGAACAUGAGUGCCCAUAUUGUCUAGUAUUGAAGUCAUACUGAAGACAAAAAAAAAGCCAGAAACAUUAGUUUACAUUUUACGGUGUUUACAGUUGACCUUUGCUCUUAAGUGAAAAUUUUCAUCUUAAUAAGUGCCGAAACGGAGAGAAUACUUACUUAAAAACCUACGUGCUUAGUGAAAACUAUUGUAAAGCCUUCCUAAAUCUGACUUUACAUCAGCUAGCGAUUACCAUUAGGCAAGCCAUCUUUACUCUUCCUUGGCCAUAGACCUCUGAGGAAAGGUGAGAAGCGAAUGUCUUUUUGCUCAAGGGAGAAUUUUUCCUCUUUUUUUUGCCAUUUUGUUCGUUUCCAAAGAGACCGCAUCGUAAUAAUCCUUGCGACCAACCCCCACCCCGUUAUUCUGGAACUUUGCACAGAAUUUUUGCACACGCUGUAAUUUAUUUAUGGACUGUUUUGAUACGGACACAAAUACCGUACGUCGGAGGAGGCUGUACGUUUACAUGCAGCGUUAAGGAGGCCGGUUCCAAAGGAGGAUUCCGGAUUCUGCUCGGGGGUUGAG